rnacentral:rRNA from 1 species
UACGGGGGGGGCAAGCGUUGUUCGGAAUUACUGGGCGUAAAGGGCUCGUAGGCGGCCAACUAAGUCAUACGUGAAAGCGCCCGGCUCAACCGGGAAGGGUUAUGCCAGACUGACGAGCUAGAGAGCGAGAGCGGGACGUGGAAUUCCGGGUGUAGUGGUGAAAUGCGUAGAGAUCCGGAGGAACCCCAGAGGCGAAGGCGGCGUCCUGGCUCGCAUCUGACGCUCAGACACGACAGCAUGGGGAGCGAACGGG